GGGGAUGUAGUGAAGUGGUUCAACACGCCGGCCUGUCACGCCGGAGAUCGCGGGUUCAAAUCCCGUCGUCCCCGCCA
rnacentral:tRNA from 1 species